rnacentral:rRNA from 1 species
ACCCUCGGGUGACAGGGAGACAGGUGGUGCAUGGUUGUCGUCAGCUCGUGUCGUGAGAUGUUGGGUUAAGUCCCGCAACGAGCGCAACCCCUACGCUUAGUUGCUAACGCGUGAAGGCGAGCACUCUAGACGAACUGCCGUUGACAAAACGGAGGAAGGUGGGGAUGACGUCAAAUCAUCAUGCCCCUUAUGUUCUGGGCUACACACGUGCUACAAUGGCCGGUACAGACGGACGCAAAGCCGCGAGGUGGAGCAAAUCCUAAAAAGCCGGUCUCAGUUCGGAUUGCAGUCUGCAACUCGACUGCAUGAAGUUGGAAUCGCUAGUAAUCGCAGAUCAGCACGCUGCGGUGAAUAAGUUCUCGGGUUUU